rnacentral:rRNA from 1 species
AUUGAACGCUGGCGGCAGGCUUAACACAUGCAAGUCGAGCGGAGAUGAGGUGCUUGCACCUUAUCUUAGCGGCGGACGGGUGAGUAAUGCUUAGGAAUCUGCCUAUUUGUGGGGGACAACAUUCCGAAAGGAAUGCUAAUACCGCAUACGCCCUACGGGGGAAAGCAGGGGAUCUUCGGACCUUGCGCUAAUAGAUGAGCCUAAGUCGGAUUAGCUAGUUGGUGGGGUAAGGGCCUACCAAGGCGACGAUCUGUAGCGGGUCUGAGAGGAUGAUCCGCCACACUGGGACUGAGACACGGCCCAGACUCCUACGGGAGGCAGCAGUGGGGAAUAUUGGACAAUGGGCGGAAGCCUGAUCCAGCCAUGCCGCGUGUGUGAAGAAGGCCUUUUGGUUGUAAAGCACUUUAAGCGAGGAGGAGGCUACCUGGAUUAAUACUCUAGGAUAGUGGACGUUACUCGCAGAAUAAGCACCGGCUAACUCUGUGCCAGCCGCCGCAGUAAGAC